UCCAAAUUCCAAUUCGACCAGGAUAGAGAACGCGCAUGAAAACCAGGUAAGGCGGAUGUGGCUUCCUCUCUAUCUAAUGUCAUUUGUAACGCUGGCACCAGCCAUAAAUCAAAGGGGCGAAAUGGAGGAUCCGUAACCUACAAGUACGGACUGAGAAGACGAGGUCACACGGAACAGCUUCAAAGGAUCGGCGUUUAUGGCUCAAGAAUAAAAUCAGUCACCUCGAGAUUUCGAAAUCCUUGCGAAGUCGUUAGCAGAUUUUAACAGACAAGUCUUCAAAAUUUUAAGGAUACGCAAUGUUUUACUCAUUUAAAUAAUGAGACAUUUUGGCGGCAAAAACUGCGUCAAAUUUACGCGAGCUGUACAGUAGAGUCUCUGAAAUGACCAAUCACAGCGUUUGUAGUAACUGAGAGAUGAAGGGUCUCUUUUUUUUUCACUGUAAGUAAAGCUGACUACUAACAACGCCAUGUAUUGACUUUCACAUUUAGUGUGCAACACUUGGCUUUAACGGAGACUAAACAAGCUAAGCAAGGUUUUUAUACACUUGGAUCUCAGUUAAGGACGUCUAUCGCAGAACUUAUGGAGAAAAUGCUGUCGUGUGAAGUCCAUUUUGUCAGGUGUGGUUUUUAUCACGUAGCUCAGCCAAAACACGGUACGGUACGAAACGCAGCUCAACGUAACGCAAGGCAAUGAAACGAAACGAAACGCGGGCCCGCACGCCCACAGAGUCUUUUUUCUCGUGCUGGCGGCCGUAACACAACCUACUUCAAAUUAGACGUCGGGGGUUUAAUAUAUGACUGUAGCUUUCUUUUGCAAUCUUUGAUGACUUCCAAAUGAAACGGGGCCAUAAAAGAAGUGUGAAAUAUGGAACAAGUUAAAAAGAUGUAAUUUCCUUUAUGUUAGAAGUCUGCAUCAAAGAGCAAAUCUCAGUACCGGACGGGAUUCAUGAAAUAGUCAGGGCAAAAAAUUCUUCAUGGUCAGGAAAAGUCAGGGAAUUAUAUUUUUUGUCAGGGAAAAUUGAUUUU